UUUAUUCUGAUCGCCCCACUCUGCUUUAAUGGUAAGCUUUGCAAAUACUUGGCUUUGUUAUGGCACUUUUGAGGAAUAAAAGCCAGCAAGAAACCUUGAAAAUCAUUAUAGUAAUAUAAAUUCAGCUUUGUAUUUCAGUCUUGGCUAACUUUUUAGUGCCAGCAGCCGCGGUCACACUUUAGAGGCAAGCAAAGUCACAUCGGGAGGUUAAGAAUCUAAAUUAAAAAACUUUUAAAGGUGAAAUUUUAAGGUUUGUAUAAAUUGUUGUUGGUGCUGUGCGAAGAAAAAGCGCAAAACUGUAGCAUAACCUCCACCGUUAAACUAGGAUUAGAUACCCUACUAUAAGGAGCAAAAUAAAGUGUUCCCGAGGCACUAAAGUUUUUAAUAACCAAAACCUAAAAAGCUUGGCGGUAAAUUAAAUUUUUAGGGGAACGUGCCAGGUAAUAGACAAUCCGCAUGAGAUUCUUACCGGGUUUUAUAGUUUGUAUACAGCCGUCUGCAGGACCAUCCUAAAGAUGUUUCCAGUUAUUUUAGACAAUAUUAAGUCAGGUCAGUGCGCAGCCAAUAACCCGAGAACUAGGUGAGUUACAAUUCUAUAAAAAUGAACGACUAACCGUCCUGAAAGAGAUGUGUUAAAGGUGGACUUAAAAGUAAUUUAGUAAAUUUUAAGUAAUACUAUCUGAAUCUAAGCUUAAUUUGUGCACAAAUCGCCCGUCACUCUCACUAUUACAUAAAGUCUUAAGUGAGAUAAGUCGUAACACAGUAGGGGUAGCGGAAGCUGUCCCU
rnacentral:ncRNA from 1 species